rnacentral:lncRNA from 1 species
AUAACAUUUCUCUCUAUCUUCAAUUCCACAUAUGUGAUAAUUAAUAUAUUGCCUUGUAUGGAUGGCUUCACUCAAAACAAUACAUAUGCCUUCUGUUUAUUUGCCUGACAAAUGACCAUCAGAUGAAUCAAUCAAAUAGGGGGAAUUGGGGAGCAUUUCAAACCAAAACAAAGAAUUGAUCCUAACUACUAAAGUGCAGCAGCUUUAAAGCCUCUGAAUUAUUUUGCUCUUACUCCACCAGGAAAGUGCAGGCCUUCAAGAACCAAAAGAUUUAAGAGUGGAACUAAAAGAACAGCAUUCAAAUCCUCGUAAGCCAUGUUGUUUAUAUCCUUAAACCCAACAAAUGAUUGUGGAAUAAUAACCUUGAUCUUAUUCAACUCCUCAGCUAAAUUUCGUCUUCUUCCCUUCAUCCUCAGAUCUGCACACGUCAAGUACACUUCGAAUUGAACAAUACCAUGCAUUGAUUUCAGUUUAAGCUGUCCAUAUAAGUAAAGCAGCAGGUCAGUCACAAGAACCGAAUAAAGAGAUACUAUCCAACUAAUAUAUAAACGAUGAAUCAUGAAGAGAUAGUACAAUUUCUCCUCGCACACACAAAAAUAAAAAAUCCUAAAAUAACUUAGCUACAGAUUAUGAAGCAAGUAGGCCCUUAGAUUCACACAAUUUUAACAUCAUGCACAUGUUAAAUGGUAUACUCAUCACUGUACAGAGUAUGUUGAGAUUAGAAAUAAAAAUAGCAGAGCAAGGCAUUAGAUUGCAGAGAUUAACAAUGGAAACAUCGUAACAAAUACAACAUUUGUAGGGUGGAGGAGGAGCUCACCUAGAGCUUAGGCCCUCUGCCCGCCAUAUAGGCAAAGGAGAUGCGUCUUGACAGCACUCUGAAUAAAAUGUAUGGCUACGAGCAAAGGAAAGGUCUACGGAGUGAGGACAAGCAGAGAGCACGAGCAAGGGAUCAGACAUGCAGUAAAUUCCUGCACAAAAGACAGACUUUCGACCCAGUUUCUAUGCUCCAUGUACUACCCUGCAAACCAGAAUGAAAAUCACCAUAUACAUUUUCAUUGCAGCAACAUGUAACCCGUUAAUAAACAGAGACCACUUUCUGUACAUCCACAUAUACCCACUAAAACACAAAGAGAACUGUUGUGCUUGUUCCAUUACUGUCUGCGUGUGUCCACAUACACUUAUUAGAAUAAACGGAGAAUACUAAGAGGCAGCAAGAGUAUAGUAUCGCUCGUGAAGAACUAAC